GAUGAAGAACGCAGCGAAAUGCGAUAAGUAGUGUGAAUUGCAGAAUUCAGUGAAUCAUCGAAUCUUUGAACGCGCAUUGCGGCCAUAGGUAUUCCUUUGGCCAUGCCUGUUCGAGCGUCAUUUACACCCUCAAGCCUAGCUUGGUGUUGGGCGUCUGUCCCGCCGUUCUUGCGCGCGGACUCGCCUCAAAGUCAUUGGCGGCGGUCGUGCCGGCCCCCUCGCGCAGCACAUUUGCGGUUCUCGGAGGCCCGGCGGAUCCGCGCUCCAGCAAGACCUUUCACGACUUGACCUCGGAUCAGGUAGGGAUACCCGCUGAACUUAAGCAUAUCAAUAAGCGGAGGA
rnacentral:misc_RNA from 1 species